AUUGAACGCUGGCGGCAUGCCUUACACAUGCAAGUCGAACGGCAGCACGGGUGCUUGCCCCUGGUGGCGAGUGGCGAACGGGUGAGUAAUACAUCGGAACAUGUCCUGUAGUGGGGGAUAGCCCGGCGAAAGCCGGAUUAAUACCGCAUACGAUCUACGGAUGAAAGCGGGGGACCUUCGGGCCUCGCGCUAUAGGGUUGGCCGAUGGCUGAUUAGCUAGUUGGUGGGGUAAAGGCCUACCAAGGCGACGAUCAGUAGCUGGUCUGAGAGGACGACCAGCCACACUGGGACUGAGACACGGCCCAGACUCCUACGGGAGGCAGCAGUGGGGAAUUUUGGACAAUGGGCGAAAGCCUGAUCCAGCAGUGCCGCGUGUGUGAAGAAGGCCUUCGGGUUGUAAAGCACUUUUGUCCGGAAAGAAAUCCUUGGCCCUAAUACGGUCGGGGGAUGACGGUACCGGAAGAAUAAGCACCGGCUAACUACGUG
rnacentral:rRNA from 1 species